UGAACGCUAGCGGCAGGCCUAAUACAUGCAAGUCGAGGGGUAACAGGAAGUGCUUGCACUUCGCUGACGACCGGCGCACGGGUGAGUAUCGCGUAUACAAUCUGCCUCAUACUAGGGAAUAGCCCGAAGAAAUUUGGAUUAAUGCCCUAUAGUAUCUUUUUAAGGCAUCUUAUUAAGAUUAAAGGUUACGGUAUGAGAUGAGUAUGCGUUCUAUUAGCUAGUAGGUGUGGUAACGGCACACCUAGGCUACGAUAGAUAGGGGCCCUGAGAGGGGGAUCCCCCACACUGGUACUGAGACACGGACCAGACUCCUACGGGAGGCAGCAGUAAGGAAUAUUGGUCAAUGGACGAAAGUCUGAACCAGCCAUGCCGCGUGCAGGAUGACUGCCCUAUGGGUUGUAAACUGCUUUUAUAUAGGAAGAAAAACUUUCUCGUGAGAAAGCUUGACGGUACUAUAAGAAUAAGGAUCGGCUAACUCCGUGCC
rnacentral:rRNA from 1 species